rnacentral:rRNA from 1 species
CCUACGUGUGGCAGCAGUGAGGAAUAUUGGUCAAUGGGCGCGAGCCUGAACCAGCCAAGUAGCGUGAAGGAUGACUGCCCUACGGGUUGUAAACUUCUUUUAUAAAGGAAUAACGUGAGGCCCGUGUGCCUUUUUGUAUGUACUUUAUGAAUAAGGAUCGGCUAACUCCGUUCCAGCAGCCGCGGUAAUACGGAGGAUCCGAGCGUUAUCCGGAUUUAUUGGGUUUAAAGGGAGCGUAGAUGGGUUGUUAAGUCAGUUGUGCAAGUUUGCGGCUCAACCGUAAAAUUGCAAUUGAUACUGGCAGUCUUGAGUACAGGUGAGGUAGGCGGAAUUCGUGGUGUAGCGGUGAAAUGCUUAGAUAUCACGAAGAACUCCGAGUGCGAAGGCAGCUUACUAGACUGCCACUGACAUUGAUGCUCGAAAGUGUGGGUAUCAAACAGGAUUAGAUACCCGUGUAGUC